GAAGAUUUAGUUUAAUUAAAACAUUAACUUGUCAAGUUAAAAACACUAUUCGAGGAGAGUAAUCUUUA
rnacentral:tRNA from 1 species